UUCUUAAGUUAGAUAGGUUAGGGUUAUUUUUUUUUUUUUUUUUUUUGUUAAACGAAACUGUCGUUAAACGUACUUCUUAAGUUAGAUAGGUUAGAGUUAUUUUUUUUUUUUUUUUGUUAAACGAAAAUGUCGUUAAACGUACUUCUUAAGUUAGAUAGGUUAGGGUUAUUUUUUUUUUUUUUUUUUGUUAAACGAAACUGUCGUUAAACGUACUUCUUAAGUUAGAUAGGUUAGGGUUAUUUUUUUUUUUUUUUUUUUGUUAAACGAAACUGUCGUUAAACGUACUUCUUAAGUUAGAUAGGUUAGGGUUAUUUUUUUUUUUUUUGUUAAACGAAACUGUCGUUAAACGUACUUCUUAAGUUAGAUAGGUUAGGGUUAUUUUUUUUUUUUUUUUUUGUUAAACGAAACUGUCGUUAAACGUACUUCUUAAGUUAGAUAGGUUAGGGUUAUUUUUUUUUUUUUUUUUUGUUAAACGAAACUGUCGAUAAAUGUUUAAUUAAUUUUAUAUAUAAUAUAUAAAGUAUAGCAAUUAAUUUUAUAUAUAAUAUUAAUUAUAUGUAUAUGAUAAUUUUAAAUUAGAUACGUUAUGGUUGUUUUUUUUUGCAAUGACAA
rnacentral:misc_RNA from 1 species